AUUUUUUCUUCUUUCUCUCUCUUCCUCUGUUCUUCUUCUUCUUCACACAUAUGUACCACCUUCUUUUUCUUCUUCUCUUCUAAAGACAAACACAUCUUCAUCUAUUUUUAUAAAUGCAUCUUCGUUACUUUCACAACUAAGAGAGACAAAAGAUAAACACCAAAAAUAAGUUGAAAACAGAAAAAUAGAAAGAUGGAAUCAGAAUCUACCGGCGGCUGAAUGUGAUAACGUGGUUUCCGACGAAGGUUAAGAAGGAACAAGAUGAAGACAACAUUAGGUGGGGUUGAUUUGUUGAAACUCAUGAAAUGUAUUUAUCUCAAAGUUUAAAUUUUUUCUUUGAUUGUUUUAUUUUUGCAGAUUAUUAGAUUAGGUUUUUUUCUAUGAUUGUUUUAUUAAUUAACAAAAAUAUUAUCUAUUUGUAAAUGAAGGUGGAAAAAUUGUCUCUAGGAUCCAGAAGUUAGCUGCAGGAAAGAUAUGAUUUCAAUCUUUAUUUUAUGUCUGGGUUACAAUAAAUUUCUCUUUUUGGGUCUAUUAUUUUUAUGAAAUCACAUAUAAUACAAAUUUGGGAAAAGUAUUUUAAAAUAUGUGUUAGUAUAUUGAAAUCAGAGUGGUAUUUUGAAACAGGUGUAGUGAAUAUUUGUAGACAACUAUUAGAUGUUACUUUCAUUUUAUCUAAUCCUCAUGUUUGAGCAUAAUUGGGCUUUUCUGUCUCGGUGGGUAGAGGGUGCAAAAGGGCAGUUAAUAUGUUUAAACCCCCAAUAUUUGGGAUUAGGUUUGAUGAUUUUGUGGGUAUCACUAAAAUUAUGAAGGAUUGUCAAAGAUAAAGAUUUUACUCAAAAAUAACAUAUUUUGUUUUGUAUGCAGAAGAUUUCCUGUUUGGCUAAAGUAUGUACUAGGUGUUUCCUUCCGAACAGACACCGAGUUGUUCAAGAUUUAGUGAUUUUCAAUUUUGAAAUUUCAUUAAUUUAAUUCUCAUGAUUUGUUUGUGAUUUUCAAUUUUGAAAUUUCAUUAACAAGAUAUUGUUUCUGCAGCACUUCCAGUGAAGGAAGCUGGUGGAGUUGGACUAAUUUACGCACAUUGCAUGAAGACGGACUCGGCGAAUGUGAUAUAGUUUCCAUGUAUUAAAAGUAUAAAUCCAAGAAAGAUUUUACAAUCAAAUUAUUCAAUAACCGAUGUCUUUCAAAACUUUCUACAUGAAGAACUAUCAUGGUUCCGCAAAGCUCAGCUUCUAUAUGCCCUAAACAAUUUUAUACUGAACAACAUCCCAUAAAAUGGACACAAAAUGGCAUUUCAACAAUUUGUUGGAUUUAAUGACAUUGGAUUCUAUAAAGAGGAUACUUUUGUUGCAGCAGGUAAGUAACAUUUUAUGGAUACAACAGUAGUUACCUUUUCACUUUAAUGUAUAAAUGUUGGUGUAGUAUCAUCCUGAUGUAGUGCAGAUUUGACAACUUAUGUCGGCAUUGUUAGCUGGAGUUACGGUUUCGAAGUGCGGGGCCUUUGAAUUGUGCAGUGGGCUGUUGGUUGUGAGAUGUUUGAUAACAUGUUCUGUAUGUGACUGUUAGCUGCAUUUAUUUUGAGAAACCUCAUAGCAUGCUUUGGACUAAAAAUGUUCACGGCUGAAUCGAUUCUUUUGUAUUGGAUGCAGGCUUAUGAUUGGGUUGCAGGUAGUUGAACCCAAGUUGGUGCGGAAAUGCCAGGAAUAUAUUGGUGGAAAAUGUGUAUGUAUGGACUUAGUCAUGGAGUAAAAGGAGGCAUUGACCCUUGAGUUUUUGCUUAUUGGUGAACUACCUGAAUAGGUUCUUAUCAGCUUAUCAAUUACCAGUAAAAUAGAAUAUUAAUAAGUUUGUUUCAGAUGAUUUACAUGGUUUUUGUAUGAUAAUAUUUCUGAAACAUUUGAUCAAAGAGGUUGAGUUAUCAGAUUAGGUGGUUUUUUCGAGUUUAGAGUUUGCAUCCAGUAUAAAUAGAGCUUAAUAAUAUUUUGUGGGUAGGAUAUAAAUAUGUCAUUGAUUAUUUAGAUGUGUUGGUCUGGUA